GCGCUUGCAGUGAAGUCUUUUGUUUUGGAUUUUUUUUUUUGCAUGAAAUAUCUACACACGUUAGAGAAGUCAAGUUCAAAGAAAAGCACAUUUCACUGGGAGCAGGAGGAGGCAAGGUUUUGGAUGGACCUUAGAUCCUGGGGGAGUUCAUUCUACCCUCUCAGACCAACUCCCAGGAAAGGAACACUUCCAUGAGGGAUCUCUGUACUGGAGUGACCUCUGCUGGCUUCCCCAAAUGAAAACACACAAGAGCCGGAGAAGCCAUGGAAGGAACUUGCAGUAAUGGAUCCUAGCAUCCAAAUGGAAUUUCUCUCUCUCUCCGCUGCAAUCAGUUUCUUCUCAUCACAGAGACACCUUUGUCUUAUGAUAAGAAGUGGAAUGGAGGAUGCACACCGGAGCAUGUUGCAGCAUUUAAGAAAUAAGGAGGAAGUUCACCCCCGUGCGGAGGGAGCUAGCACCAGUCCAAAGCACUACUGAAGACCCAAGGGCUUUAGUUAUUUCAAUUGCAUUUCUACUGCAGGAGCACCUUGCGAUCUGGGAAGCGUGAUGGCAUUUGAAGGACAUUUUCAUGACAUUAGGAAAAGCACACACCACUUUGGGACAAAGACCUGGUCAAAAAGAGGUCUCUACACCAAACUAAAGGUCAGAUUAUUAAUGUACUGAGUGUGCUACUGUACUGAGCAACUGACUUGGCCGAUGACAGUGGUUAACCAAAAGAGAUUGGAGGCUGCCUACUGCAGAUGACUGAGGAAGAUACUACCUAUUUCAGGGAAAGAAAAUAACAAAUGUGAGAGUCAGGGAGCUGAUAUCAUUUGAUAUCAUCAAGGGAAGAAGGCUCAGGUGACUGGAACAAGUACACCACAGGGAAGAUGUCUAAGCAAGCACUGAACUGGGUACCCAAUGGAGGAAAGAGAAAGGCAAAGACAGUGAGCGAGGGUAUUGAAUGUACUGGCAUCAUAUGGGAAUAAGUACCACAAUUAUCACGUGACUGUAACCAGUGGAGGAACUAGACAGCUGGAUAUGUCAGUGGUACAGGAGGACCAGAGCUAAGCACUUAGAUGCCUUAACUAAGUUGGGGAUCCCAUUGUACAGGGUAAAGGGUCAUCCCCUGCCCCAGACCGCUUACAGUCUAAACAGGAAGACAGAUCAGGUGGGUGUGAGAAGUGAGUGGGCAGGGUGAAGGAAAGGAUGAAGUAAUAGAACUGAAGGAUGUUUCAGUAGAGACUAGACACUAAUAAGUAUCACACAGCUAUUGCACGGGCCCUCUGCACAGGGGAGAAUGGUACCCAAAAUAACUUAAAAAUCAAUUCAAAAAAUUCAGGUGGAAAAAUCACUUGGGUAUGGGGGUUUUGUUUGUUUGUUUGUUUUGCCUCUGAAGAAGGAUAAAAGAUGUGAUUUCAUUUGUUCUAUUUUAUACACCAUGGAAUUUCUCUUCUUUCCUAAAUCAUCCCAUGUUAAACCAGCAAAUGCUAUACGGCUCUUGGGUAUUUCAGCUGGGCCAAAUUUGUCCUCUGCAAGGGCAGAAGUUUGGGAUCAGACCUGUCUUUUUCUUGUCUAUUUGUACAACACCUCGUACAAUGGGGAUCCGGUCCAUGACUGAAGCUCCUAGAU